rnacentral:sRNA from 1 species
GAAUAGCCCUGAUGGCAGGAAGUAUCCUUUUUAGGGCGGGAAACAAAUACGCAUUAUGAUUCCAAAAGUAGUUCCGCACUAAAAAGAUACUCCGUACAGCGGGAGAAUCU